rnacentral:rRNA from 1 species
AGCAGUCGCCACAGUAAUACGUAGGUGGCAAGCGUUGUCCGGAAUUAUUGGGCGUAAAGCGCGCGCAGGUGGUUUAAUAAGUCUGAUGUGAAAGCCCACGGCUCAACCGUGGAGGGUCAUUGGAAACUGUUAAACUUGAGUGCAGGAGAGAAAAGUGGAAUUCCUAGUGUAGCGGUGAAAUGCGUAGAGAUUAGGAGGAACACCAGUGGCGAAGGCGGCUUUUUGGCCUGUAACUGACACUGAGGCGCGAAAGCGUGGGGAGCAAACAGGAUUAGAUACCCGUGUAGUCCCUGUCUCUUAUAA